rnacentral:rRNA from 1 species
UACGUAGGGGCAAGCGUUGUCCGGAAUUAUUGGGCGUAAAGCGCGCGCAGGCGGUCCUUUAAGUCUGAUGUGAAAGCCCACGGCUUAACCGUGGAGGGUCAUUGGAAACUGAGGGACUUGAGUACAGAAGAGGAGAGUGGAAUUCCACGUGUAGCGGUGAAAUGCGUAGAGAUGUGGAGGAACACCAGUGGCGAAGGCGACUCUCUGGUCUGUAACUGACGCUGAGGAGCGAAAGCAUGGGUAGCGAACAGGAUUAGAUACCCU